CAAUAGCGUAUAUUUAAGUUGUUGCAGUUAAAAAGCUCGCAGUCGGAUUUUGGCUGAGAACGAUCGGUCCGCCGUUAGGUGUGCACUGAUUGGUCUCAGCUUCCUGGUGAGGAGGUGUGCUUCACGGCCACUUAGUCACCGUGGUUACUUUGAAAAAAUUAGAGUGUUCAAAGCGGGCUUACGCUUGAAUAUAUUAGCAUGGAAUAACACCAUAGGACUCCUGUCCUAUUUCGUUGGUCUCGGGACGGGAGUAAUGAUUAAGAGGAACAGUUGGGGGCAUUCGUAUUUCAUUGUCAGAGGUGAAAUUCUUGGAUUUAUGAAAGACGAACUUCUGCGAAAGCAUUUGCCAAGGAUGUUUUCAUUGA
rnacentral:rRNA from 1 species